rfam:Asian citrus Psyllid, Diaphorina citri - Florida Strain, whole genome shotgun sequence.
GCCUGGUUAGCUUGGAAGGUAAAGCGUCUGCUUUAUAGGUGCUAGGUCGCGGGUUCGAUUCCCGUCCGGGCG